AGAACGAACGCUGGCGGCAUGCCUAAUACAUGCAAGUCGAACGAACUCUUCGGAGUUAGUGGCGCACGGGUGCGUAACGCGUGGGAAUCUGCCCCUUGGUUCGGAAUAACAGUUGGAAACGACUGCUAAUACCGGAUGAUGACGAAAGUCCAAAGAUUUAUCGCCAAGGGAUGAGCCCGCGUAGGAUUAGCUAGUUGGUGAGGUAAAGGCUCACCAAGGCAACGAUCCUUAGCUGGUCUGAGAGGAUGAUCAGCCACACUGGGACUGAGACACGGCCCAGACUCCUACGGGAGGCAGCAGUAGGGAAUAUUGGACAAUGGGCGAAAGCCUGAUCCAGCAAUGCCGCGUGAGUGAUGAAGGCCUUAGGGUUGUAAAGCUCUUUACCCGAGAUGAUAAUGACAGUAUCGGAGAAUAAGCCCGGCUAACUCCGUGCCAGCAGCCGC
rnacentral:rRNA from 1 species